ACACUCCGCCGCAUCACAGGUGUCCUGCCGCCGUCACGGUGCGCAGGGUGAAACGGGAAGCCGGUCCGAUGCCGGCGCUGCCCCCGCAACGGUAGGCGAGAAAGCCCGACGGACGACCACUGCGCGCAGCGCGGGAAGGUGUCGGAUUGAUGCGCGACGCAUCGCUCGCAAGCCCGGAGACCGGCCUGUGCGGGAUGUCUGGA
rnacentral:ncRNA from 2 species